AAGUGGAGCAAUCCAUGAGUAAAGUGGCGACCGGGUGAGUAACACGUGACUAACCUACCUUCGAGUGGGGGAUAACCUCGGGAAACCGAGGCUAAUACCGCAUAACAUCGCAAGAUCAAAGCAGCAAUGCGCUGGAAGAGGGGGUCGCGGCUGAUUAGCUAGUUGGCGGGGUAAUGGCCCACCAAGGCUAAGAUCGGUAUCCGGCCUGAGAGGGCGCACGGCCACACUGGAACUGAAACACGGUCCAGACUCCUACGGGAGGCAGCAGUGGGGAAUUUUGCGCAAUGGGGGAAACCCUGACGCAGCAACGCCGCGUGGAGGAUGAAGCCCCUUGGG
rnacentral:rRNA from 1 species